rnacentral:rRNA from 1 species
AGCGAACGCUGGCGGCAGGCCUAACACAUGCAAGUCGAACGAACUCUUCGGAGUUAGUGGCGGACGGGUGAGUAACACGUGGGAACGUGCCCUUUGGUACGGAAUAACUCAGGGAAACUUGAGCUAAUACCGUAUGUGCCCUUCGGGGGAAAGAUUUAUCGCCAUUGGAGCGGCCCGCGUCUGAUUAGCUAGUUGGUGAGGUAAAGGCUCACCAAGGCUACGAUCAGUAGCUGGUCUGAUAGGAUGAUCAGCCACAUUGGGACUGAGACACGGCCCAAACUCCUACGGGAGGCAGCAGUGGGGAAUCUUGCGCAAUGGGCGAAAGCCUGACGCAGCCAUGCCGCGUGAAUGAUGAAGGUCUUAGGAUUGUAAAAUUCUUUCACCGGGGACGAUAAUGACGGUACCCGGAGAAGAAGCCCCGGCUAACUUCGUG